GCGUGCGCAGGCGGUUCGCUAAGACCGAUGUGAAAUCCCCGGGCUUAACCUGGGAACUGCAUUGGUGACUGGCGGGCUAGAGUAUGGCAGAGGGGGGUAGAAUUCCACGUGUAGCAGUGAAAUGCGUAGAGAUGUGGAGGAAUACCGAUGGCGAAGGCAGCCCCCUGGGCCAAUACUGACGCUCAUGCACGAAAGCGUGGGGAGCAAACAGGAUUAGAUACCCUGGUAGUCCACGCCCUAAACGAUGUCAACUAGUUGUCGGGUCUUCAUUGACUUGGUAACGAAGCUAACGCGUGAAGUUGACCGCCUGGGGAGUACGGUCGCAAGAUUAAAACU
rnacentral:rRNA from 1 species